rnacentral:rRNA from 1 species
UACGUAGGCAGCGAGCGUUGUUCGGAAUUAUUGGGCGUAAAGAGCUCGUAGGCGGUCUGUCGCGUCUGCUGUGAAAACUCGGGGCUUAACCCCGGGCCUGCAGUGGGUACGGGCAGACUAGAGUGCGGUAGGGGAGACUGGAAUUCCUGGUGUAGCGGUGAAAUGCGCAGAUAUCAGGAGGAACACCGGUGGCGAAGGCGGGUCUCUGGGCCGUAACUGACGCUGAGGAGCGAAAGCGUGGGGAGCGAACAGG